GCUUGCUCCUUGAUUCACGCGGCGGACGGGUGAGUAAUGCCUAGGAAUCUGCCUGGUAGUGGGGGACAACGUUUCGAAAGGAACGCUAAUACCGCAUACGUCCUACGGGAGAAAGCAGGGGACCUUCGGGCCUUGCGCUAUCAGAUGAGCCUAGGUCGGAUUAGCUAGUUGGUGGGGUAAUGGCUCACCAAGGCGACGAUCCGUAACUGGUCUGAGAGGAUGAUCAGUCACACUGGAACUGAGACACGGUCCAGACUCCUACGGGAGGCAGCAGUGGGGAAUAUUGGACAAUGGGCGAAAGCCUGAUCCAGCCAUGCCGCGUGUGUGAAGAAGGUCUUCGGAUUGUAAAGCACUUUAAGUUGGGAGGAAGGGCAGUAAGUUAAUACCUUGCUGUUUUGACGUUACCGACAGAAUAAGCACCGGCUAACUCUGUGCCAGCAGCCG
rnacentral:rRNA from 1 species